rnacentral:lncRNA from 1 species
UUGCAGUGGGUCAAUCUCGCUCAUGUCCGGGCCUACCACUCCCAUGGAGCGCUCCUAGCCGUUGAUCGUCCACAAGCAUGACAUGCUCAGUAAUCUGACCUGUUUCACUUUUCCAGCCAUCCAUUUGUGGGGUUUCUAGUGGUAAUUUAACAAAAGAAAUGAAGCACCUAUUUUUUUUGUAAGGCGGUGCAAACUGGCUGCUAGAAGGCCGUAUCUCUUUUUUCCAGAUCAUAGAAGGUUCUAACUAGUAGUCCAAUAAAGUCAUGUUGCCUCCCCGAUAGCUACUCGAGAUCGGUUUCACCAAGACUGUGACCAUCUCUUUCAUGGUGGACGACCCAGCCCGGCAGGUUAAUUGGACUGUAUCGCAUAAGCCCUAGACUGGGCAUAACUCAUGUUGCCAUAGAGCUCACAGUGUAUGGUACAAGGACAUCAUGUUGAUCCAAGUGUUUCCGUGCCAACAUCUUAUGUUCUAACGGGUAACAAAUCUGCUAAGACAUAUAUUCGAGUUAAGCACUAGCUUGCACAUCCCCUAACUCAACUAUACUAAAAAAAUGUUAACCCCACUCCUUAAAACCAACCCCAGAUGACUAUAUUCGGUCCAGCCGUGGCAUGUAGAACGAAAGUAGGAAGGUGGCUGCACCACCUUGCGUCACACCGUUGCCACUGGAGCCCGUGCUGCAGGACAUCCGCUGCCUCGAUGUCCCUUGCCGUCCAGAAUGACGAUGGCUUCUCGCACGCGUCCACACGUCCUUCCCGUCCAAACAUGGCUCUUAAACUAUGGCGACAUUGACGAGCAAGCCCCAUGAGCGUCUUCCCCUUCCUUGCUGAGCACGGUCCAAUAUACAGAGGCUGGCACUCUUGGAGCUGACCUGCUCUUACACGGUCCCUGACAAAAAGUAUCUGCAUUUUGGACACCAUCUUCUUCAUCUGGUUCGAGCUCAAAGAUGCAAGCGUCAUUGACCCGAAACGGAAAAACCACUUGUUGACACAAAAGAUUAUCUACGUGGAAUCAUGUCCAAUUGUGCACUUGAUCGGCUUAGAUACAUUUAAUUUCUGAUGUCUCAUAUUCUCAAGCUAAUCAUCGUUCCCCUUUCCUUUUC